CUCGAGCAACGCCACCCUGGCAGUCAGCAGCUGUCAGCAGCGACCCGAGACCUUCCACCAGCAAAAGAGGUUUGGAUUCCCCCUUCUAUGAUUUUCGGCGUUGCUGUCCAGUCACAGUAGCUACCAGCUACAUGUGCCUAUUGAGCUCUGGAGAUGGGCCUCCUGCAGGUUCGAAUAUGCUCAACAAGCUGGGUGUUAUUUCUCUGUUUCACAGAAUCACAGAGUUGAGUCUGACUGAGUUGUCUAAUGGGUGCAAACACUUUGCCGAAGUUCCUCUGCUCCAGACACGGCGUCAACAGCACGACAGUAACCCAUAUGCCCUAGGAAUAGCGAUUUACCGUCACCUGCUUCAAGAGAGCAAAUAGAAGUGUAAUUGUGACUGACUUGUGAAGACUGAACACAUAAAAACCUGAAAGUAGAUCACAAUCAUGUGAACUAAAAAUAAUGAAUAUAUAACAUGGAGUGAUAGCUUUACAACUAUCCCAGCAUAGUGUAUAUUAAGG